UUUUAAGGAAUUAAGCAAGUAAAGGUGGUGAGUCCUCUAACAAGGGUAAAGACAUUGUGCCAGAGGACCAAGAGUAGGGUAUUUCGAACUCCCGAUAUUCUUACUACAGUGGGUGGCUUUUUGUGGACCAGCCUAUUAGAAGAGCACGGUCAACCCCGUUAUAUUUUACUUUACCUCGGUACGAGAGGCACAGAGGGUAACUCUUGAGGUAAAGUUUAGAGUUCACUUCACGUCGAACCACCACAUGAGAAUGAAUUCAGCCAACGCCAAGGAACGGCUAUACUUUUAAACGUGAAAAUGUGUUUUGUGCGUAUAUGGCUUUUUAAAUAGCCUUGGCGGUCUUGAUUGGAUGCCUCUAAUCAAGGUAUCCCCGAGAAUGAGUUUUGGCACGAGCCAAGUUUUUAAGAGAUUCAUAAGCCUCAUUGUAUAUUUUGGAUGAAAUGUAACUGAUUUAGAUUAUUUGAAAUGUGUUUUGAGGUUAUGAACGAUCUUAUGAUGAUAUAUUUUAAUCAUCUCCAUUUACUCGGCUUUAGAUUUUUU